ensembl:lncRNA
UGUUGAGUAAUUUUCUAGAGCAGCAGGUUUAUAUGAAUGGCUCGCUCUAACAUGUUGUCAUUUUUAUAGUAACAGCUCGUUCGUAGGGACUUGUAUAUGCACGCGCCACACAAUUUGAGUUUAAGGGUUAUUAGUUUUCUGUAAGGAGAUGUGUAUUUAAUAUUUAUGGAAGGAGUCUCCAGCGUCACGGAAUUUUGCAGCUUUCAGUAUCAAGCUGCUUUAUCGUGCGGUUUCUGUAACUUGAGAGAAAAGAGAGGCCGGUGAGGGAACGACUGGGUGUUUCACAACAUUAAAUGCAACCAUAAAUGGACAAAAGUAUGAGGUAGUCUCUUUAAUAAAUUAAAAGAAAUCAUAAUAGUGACCAAAUUGUCGUGGUGUAAGAGGAAUAAAGCCCCGGUGUGCUGUUUUCGGAGAUGAAUCUACAGUAGAGUUAACAGUAACGCCGCUUCAGCAUGACACAGUGUGUUUAUAUCCUUAACUCACUGUGAUUAUUUUAUCCUCUUUCAAUAAUAUAGUGUGUUUGUGUGUUAUUGUUGCGUAUAUGUUUUUGUGUUGAGUAUAUUUGUCGUGUGUGUCUUGUAUAUAUUGCUGUCGUGUUGCGUGUGUGUUUUUCGUAUGUUUUUAGUAUAUUUUGUUGUUAUUGUUAUAUAUUAUAAUGACAACAAUAAUUUAUACAGUGUAUUAUUGUUGCUAUAUAUUGUUGUUGCGUAUGUGCGUGUUUUAGAUAUGUGUUUAGUAUAUAUUGUUUUAAUUGUUGUGUGGUGUAUGUGUUUUGUAUAUAUCGUUGUGUUGUGUGUUGUGUGUUUAUGUGCGUGUUCUGUACACAAAAGCGUCUGCGAAAUGAAUAAAUGUAUAUAUUCUUGUGUUGUGUGUUUAUGUGUUUGUUUAUGUGUGUGUUUUAGGUGUGUGUUUUGUAUAUAUUGUUGAUAUUGCUGUGUUGUGUAUGUGUUUGUAUAUAUUGUUGUUGUGUGUGGUUUUUUUUGUGUAUAUAUUGCUGGAGGUACUGUUGCUGUGUGUGUGUGUGUGUGUGUGUGUGGAUUGAGGAGAAAGUUUUGCAGGACAGAUAUACGAUAGCUGGAGGUUGUUAUGGCAUGGAAGACUUAUUACGAAUUAAAUAUCUCGUGUUUAUUUGUUUAUUUAUUUGUUUUGUUUAUGUGUGUAUAUAUUGGGCUGAGCGAGAUCAUCUCUCUUUUAUAAUCAUGCCCUUGUAACAUUGCAUAAGCUACUCAGUACACAUAUUAAACUCUGCAUGCACUCCAUCACCGCGCUGCUGCAAGGCCAUCAGUCGCACUGAAAUGCAG